GGACCUUUAGCUCAGCUGGUUAGAGCUGUCGGCUCAUAACCGACCGGUCGCAGGUUCGAGUCCUGCAAGGUCCA
rnacentral:tRNA from 1 species